GGUCUCACAGAUUAUAGGUCUCAAAGAUUCAAGGUCUCACAGAUUCAAGGUCUCACCGAUUCAAGAUCUCACCGAUUCAAGGUCUCACAGAUUCAAGGUCUCACAGAUUCUAGGUCUCAAAGAUUCAAGGUCUCACAGAUUCAAGGUCUCACAGAUUCAAGGUCUCACCGAUUCAAGGUCUCACCGAUUCAAGGUCUCACAGAUUCUAGGUCUCACAGAUUCCAGGUCUCACAGAUUCAAGGUCUCACAGAUUCAAGGUCUCACAGAUUCAAGGUCUCACAGAUUCCAGGUCUCACAGAUUCAAGGUCUCACCAAUAUUUCUUCACUGACGUUCAUCUUUCAGGAAGAAUGUAAAAUGUUGCUGUAUAAAUGGAAGAAAAUAGACAUGUGUACCAGAAACAUUCAAUAUUUCCCAAGAGACAUAUCUAAUAUCUCAUACAUCUGAACAAUGACUUUGUCUUCAAGUACUAGCUUUAUUCCUUAUGACAUUACAUGAACACAAACAAUGACUUUUUUGUUAAAUUCGUAGCUUUUUCAAUAAAGUCAAUCGGGCUUGAUUUAUGUCCCCACAAUAAAAGGCUGGAUUUAAUAGAAUGAGUGAACCUGUGGGGUAAACCUGGUCAUGAUUUACUCUAUCGGGGGCAAAACUAUGUGACGUUCCUACAGAAUGACUGUGUCCUCCUAAUCAAAGGCCUAUGUUGUUGUUGAUGUUCUUGUUGUUGUUGAUGUUCUUGUUGUUGUUGAUGUUGUUUGUGUUCUUUUCCAUGGUUUUUGAGUUUAAUCAGUGUAAUUAUUUCAUUUUAUUUUAAAUGUCAAACCACAUCAUCUGCAGGACAUAUGGCAUUAGUGAGACCGAGAGAGAAAGAGUGAGAAAGAGAGAGACAACGAGAGAGAGAGAAAGACAGAAAGAAAGAAAGAGGGGGUAGAGAACAAUAGAGAGAGCGAGAGAGAGAGAGAGAGAGAGAGAGAGAGAGAGAGAGAGAGAGAGAGAGAGAGAGAGAGAGAGAAUUCAGAAUGUAGAAUUCCGCAAAAAUAUCCUCAGUGUACAACGUAGAACA